CUUGCUUUCAGUUGAUUUCAUAUUACUCAUGCCACUAAAAUUAUAUAAUCACCAUAAACCUGGUUAUUGCUAUUUAAAACCGUUUUGUGAAUGUGUAGUGCAUGUGCUAAAAGGUGUGAAAGACCAGAAGAGGGCGAUAUACAUUCAACAUUAACAUUUAAUGAGCUGUUCAUCAUUCUUUAAAGAGUUAAAUGAUGAGUUAUUGACAUGUUAAUCAUUUCUUUUAAGUAAAUUAAUUUGCAGUUAUAAUGAAUGAGGACUCUAAUGUAUAGGUGAAACCCAGGACUUUAUAAACAUAAACUUGUAUUUAAAACAACAUACCCAGCAGGCCAACAUAAACAUUCACCAUAAUAAAAAAAAAGAUAAUCUUAAUUAUCAGUUGAGCUUUUUUUUAUACUUUUUGGUUAUGGUAUAUUAUGGUUAAUAUUUUUACUUCAGUGUUGAUCAGUCAAACGUUUAAUUUUAAUGCUGUGUUCUCAUCCUCUACAGUGACAGAUAGGUGGAGUCUAGGGAAAUGAAAAAGAGCAACUCAACUUUUGCUUUGUACAGUGCAAACAUGACCAUCCUUUGUGUUCUGCUUCUGCUAUUCUUGAUUAAAAAGGAGACAUUUGCGCAGUCAAUAACACCACUGGAAAACAAGACACUUAAAUCCGACGGAGAAAAAGUCACUCUGUCCUGUAAAUAUGAUGGAGCUGUAAAUAACCUGCACUGGUAUCGUCAGUAUCCAGGAUCCAAGCCGGAGUUCCUCGCAUUUAUUUAUCCACACGGAGCCACAAGUAACCCUCUUCCUGAUCGUCUAAUACCUAAAGUUGAUAAUAACAACAAUCUUGUGAGCCUGGAGAUCUAUGAUGCUGAAGUAACAGAUUCUGCGCUUUACUACUGCGCACUGACGCCCACAAUGACAGGAAACUCAACUACAGUGUACAAAAACAUCCUGAACAAAAAAACUCGAAAACUAUUUGAAUGUUUUUGUUUCAGAAAUAUCUUUCAGAGAACAUUACGCAGCAGUUCAGACAUUGGUGAUAUGUAGAAAAAGAAGUAGUAAAGUAUCAAAGCAUCUAAUGCAUAAAAACAAGUGCUAAAUAUAUAGCACUAUAACUGCUUCA